CACGUAGGCGGUUAGUUAAGUUGGAUGUGAAAUCCCCGCGCUUAACGUGGGCAUUGCAUUUGAAACUAUGUAGCUAGAGUUCUGUAGAGGGGGGUAGAAUUCCAGGUGUAGCGGUGAAAUGCGUAGAGAUCUGGAGGAAUACCGAUUGCGAAGGCAGCCCCCUGGACAGUGACUGACGCUCAUAUGCGAAAGCGUGGGGAUCAAACAGGAUUAGAUACCCGAGUA
rnacentral:rRNA from 1 species